rnacentral:misc_RNA from 1 species
UUUUAUAUACUAUCACUAACCAUUUUUAUUCAGUCUUAAGUUUUGUAUAUACAAAGUAAAAUAUCUUAUAGUUGAAGUUGAUGUCUUUUAAAUAAAGGUUUUAUUUUAAAAGUGUAAUAAUAAUAAUUAAUUUUUAAGUUAUAUUUUAUUUUAUUAUAGGUACAACUUAUGAUUAAAAUACUGUACACUCUGAUCGAUUUCGCUCAAGUAAAAUGUCUCAUGGAACAUUUUAAUAUCCCAUAUCAAUAUUACAAUCUGACAAAGGUAUGGUAUAUUGCAUGAUAUAAAUAUAAUGAUCAAAAUUACACUUUUGUUAGUAAAACUCUUUGUAUCAACCACAAUGUUUGCUCUGAUUAUUUAAUUGUUAAAUUAAAUUUGUAAUUAAUUUCUUUACUAGUGCUUUUUAUAACGCCUAUACUUUAGAGAGAUCGUAUUCAACAUGUGAAAAAAAAACCUCAAGAUGGAAUAAUAUUUUUUGAACAGUGUCUUCCAAAGUAAAUGUUCUUGUCAUGUUUGUCAGAAUUGGUAACAUUCUAUUUGCGUUGUUUCAAGUGAUUGAAAUGAUUUGAAUUUAAGAUUUGCUUUUCAAAAGAAAAAUACCCCAUGCACGCCCCAUACUUUCUGACCCUAUUUUUGUCUGUGUUGUGCAUUACUUUCAAUCUUCAAAUGUAAGUAAUUGCUAAUUUAAGAAAAUUGCUUAUUCAAUACUAGCCUUUUAGGUUACAUUUUGAAUUUGGAAGUCGUCUGAUAGAGUUACAAGUAAAAAUAAUGAGAGAGAUAAUUGAAAAAUUUGCAUGAGCUUGGAAACAGAGUUCUUGACGCACGUCGUUAGUAGAGUUUAAAAUCUCAUAAUUAGUUUAUUGCUUAGGAGGCCAUAUUAUAUUUUAUAUCGUACGAUAAUUCACAAGGGAGAUA